GUGAUACAAUAGAUUAAAAAAAGCCAUGUGGCUCUUGUCAAGAAAAAGUGAACAAAUAUGCGCUUUUAGUAAUCAUUACCAUGUGGCUUUUGUGCAGUUUCUACAUAUAACAUUGAGUCACUUAUAUCCCACUGAAAUGCUGUUUUUCUUUUGAUCCGAGAGGACAGUUGAAACAACAUCUUUAUUGCUACAAUAAUACCUUUUCAUUUCAGCUCCUUACAUCUUCUCUGUAGCCACAUCCCAGAGAAUCUCUAUGCAAGAAGUGCCUCAUUGAGUGGUGAGAGAAGCCAUAGCAAUGAAGGGCUGGAUUGAAAAAAUGGAGGAGGCGAUCCUUCCCUUGCCCUUGCGACCAGGUAUGAAAGCAUGACGAAACUUCAGUUUCAUCUGAAUGAGUCCAUCCCUACCUUGUGACCUUCAGGGAGCAGCUGUGAUCUCUGAAGCACCCAGGUUGGUGCACACAUUUGAAAAUGCCCACAUUUUAUGCACAUUUGUACUUGAUAAUGGUGGCCAAGAGGUCUUGCAGAAGAAAGAUAAUUAUUUCCCACUGCCUUUGUGUAUUUCCUCACAAUACUCUGGACUGAACUGGAAACCAGUUAAACAAAUCCGUUUUAUCGGCCUUGUAAAGCUUUCCUGAUUGACUCCCUGUUGUGCUGUUGAAAACUGAGGGAAGCCGGAGGAAGGAUUUGUCAAGAUGAAAAAACCGCAAGUCACCAAGUGUGUAUGUGUGUGUCUGUGCACAAAGAACAAAAGAAGAGGUGAAAUUAUGAAGCUCUUAAUUUGUCAAUAAUGAACGGAGAGUUGCCAAGGCCCAAUCUUCAUUUAUGAGCUGUCUUUAGUUGCAAAGCGUAGAGGACUCAAGAUGAGGCUUGGCAAAGUCCUUUCCGGCUCUGUUUCAUCUAGAGGCACCAGGGCUGGUGGGGUACUUUCAACCCGAUAUGAUGCAGUGUAUCCGAUUGUCAUCAAAAUGUCACCCUGAGUACAUUAGCAUUCAAGAGCUAAUUCAGUAUGAACAACCAGAGAUAUGGCGAUGCAAGACACAGGAAGAAAUUGAAAAUCAAACUGUGCUUUGGGUCAAAUUGAAAGUUGAUGAGUGAUAGGACUCUAUUUUAAUACAAAAAGAGUGUACUCUGCUCUGUAAGAAACAUAUUUUUUGCUUCUUGCCUCUCUAGAGGUACUUUCUACCACUGGAACAGGAAAUAGCACAAUAAUUUUGGGGGCCCAAGCCACCAUUAUUUUUCUUUCUGCCUGAGACUUGACUCCUUAUACAAAGGAUAUCAGCAGCCCCUUCCCAGACUGAGGUUACUG
ensembl:lncRNA